GAUUUUAGCGGAAGACCCAUUUCGUGUUGAGGCUUACCAUGGCCUUGCAAUGGUGUCGGAACAAUUGAAUGAUAAUUCAUUGAAGGAUGUUGCUAAAAGGAUCGAAGAGGCAAUGGAGAAAUGCAAGAAGCAAAGUGACAAGUCAGAUAUCAGGGAUUUCAAGCUCUUGGUUGCGCAAAUUAAGGUAAUGGAGGGGAGUUAUUUUGAUGCAUUGAAAGCUUAUCAAGAACUUGUGAGGGAGGAACCAAGGGAUUUUAGGCCAUAUCUAUGUCAGGGGAUCAUAUAUACUCUUUUAAGGAAG
rnacentral:misc_RNA from 1 species